GGACGGAGGAGGGGGGCCCCCGGGGAGGGGACCCAGGCGGCGCCGAGGGGAGCACGGGACGCCCCCCCCUUCCCUUCUCAGGAAAUUGUGAGUGCCCCCCGCCCACAAGCCCGUCGCCAGGACGCCCAGGACGGCGCCAACUAGAGCAAAGUGCAACCCCCGGGAAAGUGCGGGUCCCUCCCUCUUUACGGCCCCUUAAAUAUACGCCCCAGGGCGGUCCCUACCUGGAGCCCAGAGAAACCGCCGCCCUUCUUGGAGAGGCGUGGGCCUCUCCGCACUCGCCCUUGCUGUCCCCAAUCUGUUCCUAACAGGCACCCUCCCAGGCAGCCCCAACGGGGAGGAAAUGAAACUUCCUGCUUCUCUGCUCAGAAAGCUAUGGGGCCCCCUUCCCGCUGCUUGCGGGGCGCUCAGGGCGAUCCCCAAGGGGGUCUGAACCCAACUUGGAGACCUCCUGUGAGGUUCUUGUGGACAACCAAGACACUUAAGAGAUGUCUGAGCGUUACACACCAUGUCUGCUGCACAGACGAUCAAAUGAAGUUUUUGAGCCGUCAAGCCUCUCCAGUGUCCUGGCGUCUAAACCUGCUGACAUGAUGGGGCUGUGCUUUCCCUGGAAGAUGGUCUCUAUUCCUGACCAUUCUGAAGGCAAAGAACUCGAAAUCAGUUCAAAUGCAAGUCGCAGCACAUCCACGGAGCAGCUGGAAGUGCUGCCUGUGGCCUGUCGUAAUGGCGGGGUAGCAGGGAGAGAGAAAUGUUUUUCUUCACCCAUCAUUGGCUUUAUGACUAAGGCCCCUAGAACAAAAGACAGAAUAGCAAGAGAAAAGCAGGUCCAUGUAUUUAGGUCUUAUGUGACGUGAAAGCCAUCAUAAGAAAGAAAUAGGGAAAUCUGAGUAUUUUUGUGCUUCGGUUUUGGUUUUUUGUUUGUUUUUUGAGAUGGAGUCUCACUCUGUCGCCCAGGCUGGAGUUCUAUGGCGUGAUCUCGGCUCACUGCAACCUCCACCUCGUGGGUUCAAGCGAUUCUCCUGCCUCAGCCUCCCGAGUACCUGGGACUAUAGGCAAGCAGCACCACGUCCGGCUAAUUUUUGUAUUUUUAGUAGAGACAGAGUUUCCCCAUGUUGGCCAGGCUGGUUUCGAACUCCUGACCUCAGUGGAUCCACCCGCCUCGGUCUCCCAAAGUGCUGGGAUGACAGAUGUGAUAUGCUUAGUUUUAAUGAAGAGUGAACAGUGAUGGAGAAGUAUGAUUAUUGGACAAAAGUGUUACAGGAAUGGGGUCCCAAUCCAGACCCCAAGAGACGGUUCUUGGAUCUCAAGCGAGAAAGAAUUCAGGAUGAGUCCACAGAGUAAAGUGAAAGCAAGUUGAUUAGGAAACAAAAGGAAUACAGAAUGGCUACUCCAUAGACAGAGCAGUCCCGAGGACUCCUGGUUGCCCAUUUUUUAUGGUGGUUUCUAUGGAUAUGCUAAACAAGGGGUGGAUUAUUCAUGCCUCCCGUUUUUAGACCAUGUAGGGUAACUUCCUGAUGUUGCCAUGGCAUUUGUAACUGUCAUGGCGCUGGUGGGAGUGUAGCAGUGAGGAUGACCAGAGGUCACUCUUGUGGCUGUCUUGGUUUUGGUAGGAUUUGACUGGCUUCUUUUUUUUUUUUUUUACUGCAACCUGUUUCAUCAGCAAGGUCUUUCUGACCUGUAUCUUGUAUCAACCUCCUAUCUCAUCCUGUGACUUAGAAUGCCUUCACCGUCUGGGAAUGCAGCCAAGUAGGUUUUAGCCUCAUUUUACCCAGCCCCUAUUCAAGAUGGAGUGGCUCUGGUUUACACACCUCUGGCAAAAGGAUCUGAUCUAAUGAGAAUAAACUGCGGGAACUUAGCA
ensembl:lincRNA